UGCAGACCUGGCCAACUACCUAGUGACUGGAGAACUUCUAGGCCUUGGUUACUGGUCAGUAUGAUGUGCAUAUUUGAACUUUAUCUGCAAAACAAGUUGCUUAAGCUUGCAGGUUGAGUGUUCUAACCAGUAGGGAAGCUUCGGAAUAACUCAAGUGAAGGGUGUCAGGAUGUUGCUAUCCUGAUCAGUAUACAUGCUAAAACGGUUCGAGAUGGAGAAGACGGAUCGCAGAGGCUGAUUACACACAAUUAAGGGCAAAGGAGUCAUCUUGCAAUAAGGAUUUACCCUAAAAUCAAGGGUAAGCCUCCCUAUAAAAGGAACCCACUUGGAGAGAAAAAGGGGAUAUCUAUUUUCACCAUCAUCACUUUUAGGUAGAUUUCUCUCGGUAGUUUAGUUCUUCAGCCCAAUCCAGUUUCUCAUUCCUCAACACAACCAUGAUUAGCUGAGUUCCAGAAGCUCCCGGAGUUCCAGUCAUCCUCGUUCCAGCCAGCAAGAUCAUAGUUUAGGAGUUCCAUCGCCCGGAGUGGCAAACACUUUUAUUUCGCUUUCGUAGUUUAAAUUUCUUGUUUUUCAUCACGAUGGACCUGUGUUGCUUUUGAUUUUUACGGCUUAGAACUACUUUGUUUGCAGAUCCGAACUUGUUUUAUGCUAUGAAAUUGUUUUCUGUUCAGUUUACCUCGCUGAUCUCUUUUCCUUUUGCCUAGUUAGCUUAGAUCUAGAGUUUCUGGUUGUUUUAAGUGUUAGAUCAGUUGUUGCUGUUUUCGUCUUAAUUUUCUCUGAGUUAGUAUAAUCAGGAACUGUUUGAUUGUGAGGUAAAUCGUUGCAUGCAAAGUCUAGUUUUAGUUUCGAUUCAUUUUCAUGUUGACCGGUAUGCGAAGUUACAGUGUUGGUGUUUGAUUUCAGAUUUGGAAUUUUUAUUUAUGGAUCUGUGUUCGUGAGUUGUUAUUCUAUGUUUUACGUGGCGAAUCUGGAGUUGUCUUUUAAUUUUGAUCAAGUGUGUUGAAGAAGAUGAUGUCCAUGUCAAUAGUUGGGGACCACUUUUACUUUUUAGAUGCUUUUUGCCUUUUGUCCUUCACUUUUAGUUUGUACUCUGCAGAUCUGUCAGCCUAGUCACACAAUUCCCACUACCUUCGGAUAUUCCGUUUGGCCCAAAAUAGAAACCCAGUACUUCUCAAAUAUUUUCUGUUACACCAUGAUUACCCAUUUCCACGUACACAGCUGCACCUCUACACUUCUCCCCCAUUCUAGUCAGUAGGAUACUACUUUUAAAUUCUUGCCUAGGUAGAGACUCAACCCGAGCGUGGUAGCUAACUAAACCCUCCAGAAUAUCUCCGCAAUAGUUUUAGCGCACCAUCUCUGUGGGAUUCGACCCCUACCUUCACUUUACUACCCAGUAGAAGAGGGUUGAGGAUUCUUUGAAAGCAGGUUCUAGGCUAGCGGGGAUUCUUAUACUGAUCAGUAGGAUAGAUCCUUGCUUGAGCGACACCUACGCAAACCUGAGAUCUUUCAAUUACCUCUUGAAAUGGUUGGCGAAAAAUCCCUCUGACCUAGGCUCGCAGCCUCUUUCGCUUGUUUGUUGUUUCCCUCCUAUGUGGCUGCCUCGGUGAAAGAAUACUCUUGCUGGACACUCUCCUUCACUCACUCAACUCCUAGACUUUGAGCGGUUAUGUUGCUGAAAUGUCAAGCUGAAUGGGAGGAAUAUCCCAUGAGUGUGAAGGGUUUUUAUAGACAAGUCUUGAUGUACUUGGUGCUCUUAAUAGGGCUGUUGUAUCUUUGUUCUUAUCUUGCUGCAACUUUAACUGCUUUCGGCACCUUGCGGGUGCUUAGUACUCCGGUUUAUUUAUGGAGUUUGUUCCUUGUGGCAGGUGCUUAAGAAUGGCAUGAAUUUGUAGUUGAUAUUCUCGGCAGUGGCAGGUGCAAAAUGAGGGUACAAGUUCGUCAAAUACAGCCUUGCAGAGUACCUACAGCCGCUGGGGUGGAAAGGCCGGCUGGACAAAGGCUGGGAUGCAGGUUGCUGCACUACUGUGGCUGCCCCAUUUGGGUUUUGGAGGCAAUAGCCUAUCUCGUGGUUUAAAAUCUCUCGGUCCAAAGGUCGCUCCGGUCUCGGCGUGAUGCGUGACCUGGCUCAAAGGGAGAGCGAGUCCCUCUUUGACUUUCCCAUGUGUAUACCUUCCUUUUGUAGGCACAAAUGUUUAAGUAUAUCUAAUAGAUUCUUUUAGAAAUAUCAAGUUCUUCGUAUUUUUCUUGUAAGAGUGUGUAUUGUUCAAUUGGAGAAAUAAAAAGACGUGAAUUUGUUUUAGUUUGCUCGUGUACCACUUUAGAUUUUCUUUCUUUUGAGAAUUAACAACACUAUGCGUUUACGAAAAGAAAACAAGUACUUCCA